CCUACGGGAGGCAGCAGUGGGGAAUAUUGGACAAUGGGGGCAACCCUGAUCCAGCCAUGCCGCGUGUGUGAAGAAGGCCCUCGGGUUGUAAAGCACUUUCAGUGAGGAAGAACGCCUGGUGGUUAAUACCCAUCAGGAAAGACAUCACUCACAGAAGAAGCACCGGCUAACUCCGUGCCAGCAGCCGCGGUAAUACGGAGGGUGCGAGCGUUAAUCGGAAUUACUGGGCGUAAAGCGCGCGUAGGUGGCUUGAUAAGCCGGUUAUGAAAGCCCCGGGCUCAACCUGGGAACGGCAUCCGGAACUGUCAAGCUAGAGUGCAGGAGAGGAAGGUAGAAUUCCCGGUGUAGCGGUGAAAUGCGUAGAGAUCGGGAGGAAUACCAGUGGCGAAGGCGGCCUUCUGGACUGACACUGACACUGAGGUGCGAAAGCGUGGGUAGCAAACAGGAUUAGAUACCCCUGUAGUC
rnacentral:rRNA from 1 species